rnacentral:rRNA from 1 species
GAUGAACGCUGGCGGCGUGCCUAAUACAUGCAAGUCGAGCGAAGCGGGGACGGGUGAGUAACACGUGGCUAACCUCCUAUAAGACUGGGAUAACUUCAGGAAACCGGGACUACACCGGAUAGUUAUAGCUGGAUCCGGGUUGCAUUAGCUAGUUGGUAAGGUAACGGCUUACCAAGGCAACGAUGCCUACCCGACCUGAGAGGGGGAUCGGCCACACUGGAACUGAGACACGGUCCAGACUCCUACGGGAGGCAGCAGUGGGGAAUAUUGCGCAAUGGGGGAAAGCCGGACGGAGCAAUGCCGCGUGAGUGAUGAAGGUCUUCGGAUCGUAAAACUCUGUUAGUAUGGAAGCGUUACUUAAUCAGAAAGCAACGGCUAACUACGUGCCAGCAGCCGCGGUAAUAC